CGUUCCACUAAAAUUGGGUUGCAAUCCCUGCUUGCUUGAGGAACUUUAUUGAUGUGAGUAGUCCCAUUGAGAGUAUGAGUAUUUAUGUAGCUGAGAGAAGCUAAUGAAAUGAAUUCAAGUGAAAAAGGGAUUGUUCACAUGCCCAAGAAUUGUAUGACAAGGGCCCUAAUCCAACCAUUGUGGUUUAGGGAUUUGCAAAAUUACUUAUUUUUGCUAUGAAUCUGUGUCAGUUUUGCUAACUCUUCACACAUUCCAGGCUCUCUCCUGAAAUCUACCUUGUUUGCUCUGAAUUUCUCAUUCCAGGACAGACAUAGCAGCGUACUGACCUAAUUCUUCAGGUUGUGCAGCUGUGUACUCACUAUUUUAAGAGAUAAAUGAAUAACAGUCUCUCCCUUCUCCAGUGUAAAUUGACCAAAGCCUCCUCAUGUCAGUGAAGCCACAUGAAGUUGUGAAAACUGAGUGCCUGGGGCUGAAUGUUAGCUGGAGAAAGAAAAGGGUUAUAUUUUUGAAGGUGUCUGCUCUCUUGUUGGCUGCUGGACAGCUGUAUCACAAGGAUUUCCCUCUGGUAUAAAACACAGAGCUCUUCUGUAUCAGUGUGGAAUGCAGUAGCAAAUCACUGUACAGUGGCCCAUAAGGAUACCAGCUACCCUUAUAAACUUUUUAUAACUUAGGAAAAUAAACAUGUGGUUUCAGGCCUCUGCA
rnacentral:lncRNA from 1 species